rnacentral:rRNA from 1 species
UACAGAGGGGCAAGCGUUGUUCGGAAUUACUGGGCGUAAAGGGCGCGUAGGCGGCCGGCUAAGUCAGACGUGAAAUCCCUCGGCUCAACCGGGGAACUGCGUCUGAUACUGGUCGGCUUGAAUCCGGGAGAGGAAUGCGGAAUUCCAGGUGUAGCGGUGAAAUGCGUAGAUAUCUGGAGGAACACCGGUGGCGAAGGCGGCAUUCUGGACCGGCAUUGACGCUGAGGCGCGAAAGCCAGGGGAGCAAACGGG